rnacentral:lncRNA from 1 species
GUUUGAAAAUAAAGUUGGAUAUUCUUAUGACACUUCGAUUACAUUGAGGUUGAAUCUAAUAGCUACAUAUGAAUAAGUGGAAUUCAGAUUAAACAAAACAAAAGUCAUCCGAUCACAAAUAAGAAUAGUACAUGUUAUUACUACGUCUGAUGCCUCACCUCUAGCUUGCUCAAAAAAGCAUAACACUGAGCUUUAUCAUCAUUACGGGCAACCCACCUAUUGGGUUGUGAUGCUCCUCUUCCUGCAUUACCAUUUCUUCAGUCUCCACUAUCUCCCUAAUUACCUCCUCGUCCACCCUAUGGACGUCCUCUGACAUUAUUACCUCCACAUAUUACCUAUUGCAUGAUGCGCCAACCAACCUUAUGUCUGUGAGGGCAUUCCCUUUGGAAUUGUCCAUGUUUACCACAAUUAAAGCAUCCACGGUCAAGUGAGAGUUUGUUGGCUAAUGAGUAAAAAGCUCUUUGACCACCCUGAGUUCGAGAUUGUUGUGGAACACCCAAAUAUCCACCCAUGGAAGUGGGCAUAGUUGACUGAAAUGGAUCAUACAUAAAACUCAUGCAUAUCUAAUCAUACAUAUUUAUACAUAAAAAAUAAGUUACGAGUAGUGGAAUACUUUUUUGAAGCUUAAUUCUAACUUUCAUCACUUUGAUAUAUAAAUUUUGGAGAGAAAUGUGAUUUCCAGAAAAUGAAAAAAUUCUAAGAUUAGGGCAAGCAUAAAUGGAUUCUUAUUAUUCCAUAUUAUCAUAAACAACAUCCUCAAUUAGUAGGGUUAAUUUUUACCUUCUUGGUCCAAACCUCUUUUAAAGUACUUCAAAAUCAAUGCGCUAACUCCACACCCUUUCAUUGUUUCUAUCUCUGAAUCUCUCUUAUUUAUAGUUAGAAAAUCUUUAUGGUUCGCUCUCGAUGUGAUCUCUAAUUGGGACUUGAUAAAAUUAGUCUUCUUGUGAUGGACUUGCCAUUGAGAGGCACAUUGACCUGGCUAGAUGAGUCUUUCGCGAUAUUUUGAUAUGAUUGUCAAAAAUAUAUUUUUCCAUGUCCUUAUCUUUUGCCUAGAAUUAAGUUUGUCUUCUCACAAUAGGAUCAGUACAUUAUAAGACUUUUCGAAUUGGUAAGGUUGGAUAAUUCACGUCUAGUUGUAUUGAAAAUUAUUGUGAGAAGGCAAAAGCCUAGGCAAGAGACAAGACAGGAAAAAUACAUUAUGAUCAAUCACAAGGAAAUCUUGAAAAACUCACUUAGAUAGGUCAAUAGGCCUCACGAUGACAAGCCCAUCACGAGAAGGCCAACUUCAUCACUGCGUCGAGAGUGAGUCAUAAGGGUUCCCAUAUAUAAAUAAGUAAAAGCCAAGAGAUAGAAACACACUAAAAAAUUUGAAGUUAGUGAAUCAGAUUUUGAACUUUUAAGAUUUGGAUCGAGAAGUUAAUAAUCAACCCUACUAAAGGUGUGGUGUUUAUGAUAAUUUGGAGUAAUUAUAAAUAUUCAUUUAUGCUAAUCUGAAUCGUAGAAAUUCUACAUUUUCUUAAGAAUUUACCAUUCUCUCUAAUUAACAUUUCUUAGUUGUAGAAUUAAGCAAAUAAUAUGUGUGAUCAAAACUUCACUUUAUAUACAAAAUUUGGGAAAUUUGGGUGGUCAAAGGCCAAGAUUUAAGACUUCUGGGGGGUGGGGAGGGGGGAUUUAAGUCAAUUCUUGGAAAAUAAAAUGAAUUAAUUGAUAUUGUUCAAGAUAAAAAUGCAUGAAAUGCGUAUGUGUGCAUCUAAAGAGUAUUAACACAUAAGAGAGUUAAUGAUCUAAGUUAUAACAAACACAUUCAACAAGGAUAAAUGUUUAAAAAAUCAUUAAUACAAAUAUAUAAAUUAAUUUUGAAGAAUCCAUGAAAGUAUUGAGUAUUAACUCUUCAAUUUGAAAUAUAUGAUCUACCCAAUUUUAAAUAAAAGAUGUUCCCAUAUUAAUCCAUAAUUGUAUCGAAUAAUUUUUUUUUUAAAUCCUAAAAAGAUUACACCUCCGUAAAAAAAAUUCUCCUCUAAUUUCAUAUAUAUAUAUAUAUAUAUGAUUAGAUACACUGAUUAAACUUGAGGUUCAAUUAUAAAUUAUUUUCAAAAGAAUGAGAAUGAUGCUUCCCCUUUAAAAAAUGCUUCAAACGUAAGCACACAAAAUUAAUAUGAUUUAAAUGCUAGAGAUGCAUUGGUGAAGGAAAUUCUAUGAGAGAAGGUUUACCUCACCCGGUUAGAAGAACAAUUAGCAAUUGGGAAAGAUGUCAAUAUCGAAUAUUUAAAGAAUUCUCCUCCGAUUCAAAACUGUCAGCUUAUUCCCUUUGAGUCAAAACAUAUGACCAAA